rnacentral:rRNA from 1 species
CAGUCGCCGCGGUAAUACGUAGGUGGCAAGCGUUGUCCGGAAUUAUUGGGCGUAAAGGGCUCGCAGGCGGUUUCUUAAGUCUGAUGUGAAAGCCCCCGGCUCAACCGGGGGGUGUCAUUGGAAACUGGGAAACUUGAGUGCAGAAGAGGAGAGUGGAAUUCCACGUGUAGCGGUGAAACGCGUAGAGAUGUGGGGGAACACCAGUGGCGAAGGCGACUCUCUGGUCUGUAACUGACGCUGAGGAGCGAAAGCGUGGGGAGCGAACAGGAUUAGAUACCCCAGUAGUCCCUGUCUCUUAUAA